AUUGGAUCCAUGCAGGUCUUGGAGGGUGGUGGCUCACUCUUUCUGGGCCAAGUAGAGGGUGACUCAGACACUCCCCUUCCUCCAGGCUUCUCAUCUGUAACUGGUGAAGCCUGGAAGAGCUUGUUGUUCAAGAGGAAAUCUUGUGUUACUUCUUUAUGAAGGACUCCAGCCUGGUGGAGAUGAAUGAGUCCUGAAGAUGGAAUCGAAGCUGUUUGGGCACAAUACUUUAAUCAGCAUUUAAUGACCUAGUCGAAAAUUCAUUGUUUGGACCCAAGCACUGGUGGGAAAGGCAGGAGGGGAGGCCUGCCUUGCUUCCUCCCUCCCGAGCCCUACAGCAGGGCAUGGAGUGGUGAGUGAGUUCAUACAGUGCCAGCCACAUUCCCAGAAACUUCCAGCAGAGGUUAAUCCUGCUCCUCUCAGGAAAAAGUGAUUUAGCUCCGGUCCACCCUGGGUGCAGCAGUCCUUCUGCCAAGAUGCCUUCAUAUCAUACAGCUAUUAUUUUCGGGAGGAUUCCAAGUGAGGGCAGUCAGUGUGGGCUUGGCCCAUUCUCUAGACUUUGGAAGAUAAUGUUCUAUAGAGGCCUGUUCUGAAGCUUUACCA
rnacentral:lncRNA from 1 species